UAGGGAAUCUUCGGCAAUGGGGGCAACCCUGACCGAGCAACGCCGCGUGAGUGAAGAAGGUUUUCGGAUCGUAAAGCUCUGUUGUAAGAGAAGAACGUGUGUGAGAGUGGAAAGUUCACACAGUGACGGUAACUUACCAGAAAGGGACGGCUAACUACGUGCCAGCAGCCGCGGUAAUACGUAGGUCCCGAGCGUUGUCCGGAUUUAUUGGGCGUAAAGCGAGCGCAGGCGGUUUAAUAAGUCUGAAGUUAAAGGCAGUGGCUUAACCAUUGUUCGCUUUGGAAACUGUUAAACUUGAGUGCAGAAGGGGAGAGUGGAAUUCCAUGUGUAGCGGUGAAAUGCGUAGAUAUAUGGAGGAACACCGGUGGCGAAAGCGGCUCUCUGGUCUGUAACUGACGCUGAGGCUCGAAAGCGUGGGGAGCAAACGGG
rnacentral:rRNA from 1 species